rnacentral:rRNA from 1 species
GAAUAUUGGACAAUGGGGGAAACCCUGAUCCAGCGACGCCGCGUGUGUGAAGAAGGCCUGCGGGUUGUAAAGCACUUUCGAUGGGAACGAAAUAUGCCGGGCUAAUACCCCGGUAGGCUGACGUUACUCAAUGAAGAAGCACCGGCUAACUCUGUGCCAGCAGCCGCGGUAAUACAGAGGGUGCGAGCGUUAAUCGGAAUUACUGGGCGUAAAGCGCGCGUAGGUGGUUGGUUAAGUUGGAUGUGAAAGCCCCGGGCUCAACCUGGGAACUGCAUCCAAAACUGGGCGACUAGAGUACAGUAGAGGGUGGUGGAAUUUCCUGUGUAGCGGUGAAAUGCGUAGAUAUAGGAAGGAACACCAGUGGCGAAGGCGACCACCUGGACUGAUACUGACACUGAGGUGCGAAAGCGUGGGGAGCAAACAGG